UCAAAAAACGGAUUUCUAUUCAAAGAGUGCAUAACCGCAUGGAUAAGCUCACACUAACCCGUCAAUUUGGGAUCCAAAUUCAAAAUUUUCCUUGGGAGGUAUCGAGAAGGAUUUGGAAUGGAAUAAUAUCGGUUCAUACAGAAGAAAAGGUUCUCUAUUGAUUCAAACACUGUACCUAACCUAUGGGAUAGGGAUCGAGGAAGGGGAAUAUUGAAUCAAACAUUGUACCUAACCUAUGGGAUAGGGAUCGUGGAAGGGGAAAAACCGAAGAUUUUACAUGGUACUUUUAUCAAUCUGAUUUAUU
rnacentral:lncRNA from 1 species